GUAGACUGGCAAGGUGCCUCCAGGCUGUGACUUCUCAGAUUCGACAGCGCGGAGGUGAGGGGCACGGAUGGUGCCCAGGGGUCCUGCAGAAAUCAGAGGAAAGGGUCCGACUGCAGUCCUUUGUCUGAAACAAAAGAAACCUGAGAAGCUCCCUGAAACAAUAGUCACAAGCUGCUUUGCCUCAGAGGCUUCAGGGACGAGUCCUACGGAACACCUCAUGUAAUCGAAGAUGAAGUUAGACCCAGACUGGAACAAAAGCCCAAGCUGAGAGCCUGAAGCCGCAGCAGGGAGCCAUAGAAGGCUGACACUAACCCAAACCUGAAGCAGGUUUUUCAGGGGCAGCUCCUGGACCAUGGUGCUGAGGGGACAAAAAUCACGUCCUACAGCCUCUCACCUACCUCUCACUGUCCUUUCUCCUGAGAUAUGACUGAUGGUUUGCUAAAGAAUUAACGGUUUGGGUCUUCAUUCAAAGGUGGAGACAAAGCUGUAUCAUUCAGUAGCAGGCCCUUUGUUAAGAAAUGCCUACUUCUUAAAUGGAAGUACAUAUCCAAUCUUUGACAAAAAUCCUGGUUACCACAAGACAUGAUAAUGACACACAGCCGUUCUUCUCAGUUCAUAGCCGUGGGUACCACCCUGCAAUAAUCAAGGGCUCAUCCGGUGGUUGCUUUCUUCAUCUCCAGAUGGUGAUUGGUUGGCUUGGAGUCUAGGGAGAGGACACACAUUCUAGGGAGAAGAGCACACAUUCUCAGGAGCUCACCACAAGCAGAAAUUUCAUUUGCUGUUGUGGAAGCAACCUCAGUGUCCAAAAGCAGGAAGAUGAAAACACGAAACAUAGUACAUGUCUCUACAACAGAAAAAAAUCUAGGCAUCAAGAAGAAAACUUCAUUUGUGGGAAAAUGUCUGUAACCAAAGAGACACCUAUUAAAUUAAGCCAGUCUCAGAGAGACAAAUACUGUAGGUUUUCUUUCAUUUAUGGUUCCUAGAUUUCACGUAGAAACAAAAAUAUACAUAUACAUGACAUAAAAGUAGACAUGAAAUUGUCUGGGGGAAAACAAAAGAUUAAUCAGAGGGGAAAGGAGGUGAAAACAUCAAAACACUGAAGGAGAAACUGAAGAAGACACGAGAAGGCAGAAGGGUCCACUUAUGGAUCAGAAUAAUUAAUAUGGUUUUAAAAUGGCUGUACUGCUGAAAGCAAUCUAUAGAGUCAAUGCACUCUCCAUCAAAAUUACAAUUACAUUUUCUAUAGAACUAGGAAAACAUCCUAGAAUCUAUAGGGCUAUAGGGAAGACAAACAAUCAAAGCAAUACUAAACAGAAAUAGGAAUGCUGGAAGUAUCAUGCUAAAUGAAAUAAGCUACACAGAGGGAGACAAACAUGGUAUGUUUUCUCUCAUGUGGAGAUAAUGUAUCUGAUAAAAAAUGGAGGAAAGGAACCAGCCAGUGUUGGGAAGAGGGAUGGAGGAGAGUAUAGAGUAAUAGGGUUAGAAGCAGAACACCAGCCCAGUCUCUGACCCCCACAAAGACAGUGUCACCCGACCUGUUGGAAUCAGUGGCGUCUGAUGAUGCUACAGAGCCACACUAAUACAAAAGCACAAUUUAGGUCCCCCAACAGAAACAGAAACCAGUGGAAUAGAAGAGUGGACCAAGAAAUAAAUACACACAGUUCUAUCAGUUCUCUCCACCAACUCUUUGGCAAAGACAUCAAAACCAUACAUUGGGGAAGAGCCUCUUCAAGGAGUGGUGAUGGGAAGCUAGGUACCCACACUUAAAAGGGUGAAACCAGAGUCUGUUUCUUCCCUCAUUCCACACAAAGAUCAAUUCAAAAUGGAUAGAAGACCUUAAUGUAAGACCUGAAACUUUGAAAUUGCUAGAAGAAAACAUAAGGAAACCACUUUAUGGUACAAGCAUUGGCACGGGCUUUCUGCAAAGAACUCCAGCGGCCUGAGAAAUAGUAGGAGGAAUAAGCAAAUUGAAUGGAAAGGCUCUGCAGCAAGGGAAAUGGCAUGGACACAGCCUGCUGAAAGGAGAAGGUCCUUGCCAACUUUACGAUCUGAUAAGGAACUAACGCCUGAAGUCAGUAAAGGACACAAAAGGCAAGCACUCCAAGAAGUGAUCCAAUCGGCAAGGAGGCAGCUCUCAAAAGCAGAAAUACAAAUGGUCAAGAAAUACCUGGAGAUAGGUUUACAGUCCUUAGCGUACGCUACUCCUAUUCCUGUGACCACAUACUCUAAGACAGUCAGCUUAGUGGAGGGAACUGUUUGAAGUGGGAUGCUCCCAGUUCUUUAUUUUGAAGACAAGGUCUUGAUCAGUAGCCCGUGCUGUCUUCGAGUCCACACUGCAACCAUGCUCUGUCAUCCUCCUCGCUGCUUGGAUCGGAGCCUGCGCUACCAUGCACGCUCACAAAGUUAUUUUAUGUGUGAACAUUCUUUUGGUAAGACAUCCAAAUUCUUGUACAUCCAAAAUUAGUGGAGGAAAACAUUCUUUUCACACCAGUUGGUUGUUAUCUUUCAAAAAUACAGUAUCAAAAAUUAAAGCAUUUCCUUUCAUGCUCCACCCACGGGGAGGUAUUUUGAGGAGGCACAGCGUGAUGUUGAGGGCAUGGUGGCCGGAGCAGGUCCCACUUGCGGCAGCACGAAGCCUGCUUGCACCUUGGUGUUCGCUCAGGCCUUUCUCCGUUCUGUCUCUCCUGCCAGUCUUGACUUUAUGAGAUAUGCUGCCAUCCACGUUCAUUUUGAGUCUUUCCCCAUCUGAUAACCUUCUCCGUAAGUACCUUGGGCACGUGCUCAGAAGUGUGUCUCCUAUGGGAUUAUGAAUCCUGUCAACCAUCAUGGCAAUACAAAUGAAAAAACAAACAAACAAAACAAAACAAAACAAACAACAACAACAACAACAAAAAACAGACCGAGUGUACAGUCAAAGGACUCUAAGUCAGCACAAGAGAAAACUGAGUAUCCCUGUUCGGUGUUGCGCUACUGACAAUAGCCAAGAUGUGGCACCAUGCUAUGUGCCCAGCAACAAAUGAACAGAUGAAGGAAAUUACACACACACACACACGAGAUUUCUUCAUCUGUAACAGAACAAAAUGUCAUUUACAGGAAAAUGGAUGGACCUGGAAAUCAUGCUAAAUGAAAUAAGCUACACAGAGGGAGACAAACAAGUUUCCAAUAGGCUCCUUUCUUCGUGGGAUCAAAGCACACGAAGUUGAAGAGAUGAGGACAUUGAUGUACUGGAAUAAGGCGGGAGGACUUGAACUCAGGAGCUCCGGGCAUUUCUUCCACAGUGAGGCUGCCUCCAUCUCCAGCUGUCAUUGGGAAAAUGACCACCAAUUGCAGAGAAAGGACAAAAUAACAGAAAACUCUGUGAGAAAGGAAAAUGCAUCCAUACAAUAGGGAUACAUGUGUGCACACGUAUGCUAAUAUAUAAUCACAUUUAAAGAGUAAUGUUUUCAUGCAAGUUUAAUCAACUUAUGCCUCAUUUUUAAUUACUUUCAGACUGUUGAUCAAUCAAUAUAUGUGUAUGCAUAUAUCGCAUUUCAAGCUGCUGAUUUAUGCAUGCGUACACACAGGCAUUUCAUAUUUUCUGAGUGGCAUUGUAAUCUCCAUGCAAUAAAAAUGGCCAUUGAAAGCAGACCCUCAUAUACUGUUGCUCAUUAUGAUGAAAGGCGUCUCAGGAAACAAGCCACAGGGUCCACUGAGAUUCACCGAGUGUUGUCACGCAUGCCAUAAAGUGUUCGAGUGUCAGCCGUCCGGAUUUGCAAACAUACUGUUUGAGAUACACUCCAGAAAUGAUUUCUUCUGAAUUCACACCCAUGUCACCAACCCGGGCCAUCACAAACCCAUGUACAUACACAAUGUGUCCACAGUCCAUAUUGCAAAGCCUCGUUUUCAUCUUGUAAAAUCUCACAGCUGAAGCUCACUGGAUGGCUGAAAAGGAAAAGGCACUAAGAUUUGCAUGGACACCGCUCUCGUGAGAGAUGAGCUGUGGAGUCAAAGAAUGAAGUGCCCGGGUGGCCUUUCUCUGUUCACACAGCUUCACCCUGUUGGAGAACAGAGGGCAGGAGCUGUGCCAGCCUGCUGAGCUGUGGGGGAUGUUAGCCAAGUCCAGUUUGGUUUUUUUCCUCUUCCUUUUCCUUCUCUUUCUCUUAAUGGAGAGACAAAAAAAAAAUUAUUUAAAAGAUAUCUGUUCCAUUAUUUCUUAAUUUUCAUAUAGCAGCUCAUUAUCUCAAUCAGCACACCGCAGCUGAAUGCACUGAUUUCUGAGGAAAAUUCCAGCAGGUUCCUGAAGCUGUUGAUGAGCUGUGGCUAAUCGCCACAGUUAGAAUUUUCUGUCAUUACCCGAAAUGGAUUAUAUGAGUUUGAUUGGCAGGAGGGUUAAAGAAAGAAAUGGCAUACAGACGAGGUGUGAUGAGGGAGGGAGGGAGGAGGCAGAUAUCAGCACACACUAAUCACCCAGGAACAAUUAAAGAACAAUUUUAUUUAAACCGAGUGGAAUUCUAAAAUAUUAGUACAUAUUGAAGAAAGUGUGGGAGUGUGGGGCUUUGGAAAACCAGUAUCUUCUAGUUGAAGAGGAGGACAUGUCUGGCCUACAAAGGAAGGUCCGCUUUAGAAACACACAUUUAAGUGUUGUUAGCAGUGUGGUGUGUGUCUAUCCACAGAUGCCCAGUGGAGAUCUUAGAAAGGAUGAAAAUGGGGAGAAAGAGCCACAAGUGAGGACAAGACGUUGAAUCACUACUCACCCCUAGCUCACUGCUCUACAACGAUCUCUCUCUCUAUGCCUUCAGCUUCUCCAUCUGAGAAACGAAAGAAGCAGAAACCAAUUUGACUCCUAGGGUGUGUCCAUUGCACAACAGAUUUAAAAGAGGAGUUUAGAAGUGUAAAAAAAAUUGUUGUGUUUCAUUUUCAGUUUGAGGGCACUUGUUGUUCCUCAGAGCUGUAGCUAAGCAGGAGGCACAAGUUCUGCCCUCCCCUGCCUGGUGGCCAGUACCUCCCAUCUGUGAACACUGAGUCGAAAACGUAGACACAAUCAGCUGCGUGACUGGGCCUGCAUCAGAACAGGGGACAGUCUCUAGCCCUGGGAUAUCUGUGAGAUGAGGCUUUGCAUCCUAAACCAAUAGGAUGGGGAACUGUGAAAGUUGUGGCCUAUGGGAGAAAGAGUGCAGGCAGUUCUCAUGGUCAGGGAUUUGAGAAACCACAGUCACAUUCCUAAUCAGUAUGCCAGCCAUUUUUAACUUUUUUUGUAUGCUUGCAUCCCUUUCUAUACAACUGUGCUGACUAGUUUUAUGUCAACUUAACACAAGCUGAAGUUAUCUGAAGGGAAGAACGCUCAGAUAAGAAAAUACCUCCAUAAUAUCUGCAGAGUGAGAAUCGUACUUGCCAGGGAAGCGGCAUGAAGCGGUCUGAGGACAUUCUGGGGCGGAGUGAAGAUCAGACUGCGUGAUUUGAGCAUUUGACGCUUCGAAGUGAGAAAAUGCAAACUCCAAAACUGUAGUGACCCAUACCAAAAAAAGGAAAGAAAAUGAGAAAAAGGGUAGGGAGGGAGGAAGAAGAAAGGAGGGGGGGGAGAGAGAGAAUCUGAGAACAUCUCUAGACCUACAAAUCAGGGUAAAGGAUGUGGGGUAUAUAGACUAGAUGCCAAUUUGGUUUCUUGAAAAAUGCUAAAACAACCUAAACCAAAACACACGAAGAACCCUGUCGGUCAGAACAGCAGUGAGGCGGCUUGUCGCAGACGUCAUCUCAAUUAGCUUUGGAGUACAUAGGAUGAGCCUCUAGGGAAGACCUGGUACAGCUCAGGGAGUCAUGGCUGAAGAGCAUCCAACUUGGCUGAAGUGGGUUCCGGAGCCAUGGGCCUGAGAGACGGUACUGGUCUCUGGGAAACAACCAGAGAGCUGGGGAGGAGCCAGCUCUGGUCUUCCUUUCCCCAGCUCCUUGGCAGUAAGUGUGUGUGUGUGUGUGUGUCUGUGUGUGUGUAUCAUGUAUAUGUGUGUGUGUGUCGUGUGUGUGUGUGUGUGUGUGUGUGUGUAGUGUGUGGUUUUGUUGUCUCUAAACAAAGCAAUAGGACUGAGAGUGCCUCCUUCCACCUGUGACAGCCCCCCACCUCCACCCCAGAGCGGAGAGAGGGCUCAUAGGAGCAAAUCACAAUCGCUUGCUGAUUUGGAAACUGACCAACCCAAAACCUUCUUUUCAAGGUACCAUGAAUGAAAAGUAAGCAUUCAGCGUGGAGGCUGACGUUGUGAUGGAUUGAUGAUUCUUGUUGCAGCACAAGAUUACGUAGUGAAGGCAAAGGGAAGCGAUAACCGAGUCAAGCUCCUGACCUGGUCAGACUUCCUUCGGGCUAGCACCUUGCCUGGCUUUCAGCCACACAAGAAUGAUUUCUUUAUUCCCUAGGAAGGGAACAAGGUUGUUGAAAACACGCAUGCACUAAUUAUUGAGUAUUUUAUUUGAAAUGAGAAAGAGAGAGAGAACAGAAAGGAAAGUAACCCCCUACCCUUCCUUCCUGUCACCUAUCAUUUUCUACCUGGAUAAUUCCAUAUCCUGAAGCCAGCAGAGGUCUGCACUGUGCAGACAGGCAGAUAGACCCAGUUCACCACUGCCCAGCUUGACCCUCUGCCGUCCCUUAUGUCAGAAAGAAGAAAGCUUUGUUAGCAGUCAGCCUUGGAUUGAGAGAAUCAGAAAUGGGAAACUGUCCUGAUUUACCGUUCUAUCUCAGCAGAGAGGAAGCAGAAGUGGGAGGAGUGGGCGCGAAGGCAGAGCCUGUCUAAGGGGCCAGUGCUCACAGCUCUGUCUCCCAGGAUGCAUCACCCUUCCGUCAACAAGCCAAAUCUUGAGCUCUGGAAAGUGGUUUCAGGACACAGGCUCAUCUCUUCCAUGACCUACGGAUAUUAAGUUCUGUCGAUAAAUCUGCUAGGCAAUGAAAGGGCUGUCUGUAAAUCCAGGGACAAGUGGAAAGUUGUGGGGACUUUCAGAGUCCUCGCACUGAGAGAGACCGGGAUGUGUCUCCAUUCUCUUGUGAUUUAGGAGACCCAGUACAGCACCGACUCCCAGGAAAACAGCACUGACUGCCCGGUGAGCUACAGCCCAUGUCCCAGAGGUCUAUACCCGGCUUUUUCUCUUAUCCUGCACGCAAGCUCUAAGACUUUGGUGCUGCAUAAGAUGACUUAGAAAAAUAAUAAUUUUUAUGAACUUUGAAUCCUUGACUUGUUAAAAAUCUGCUUACAAACAGACACACAGAUGGUGGCAUAUAUGACUCAAAGAACAAGCCUUUCUUCAGCAUAGUCCCUGAAACAACAUUUGUAAAUGACGAAAUCCUGUAUAAGGGAACAAUUUCCUGUAAAUCAAUGUACCUUACUUUAGAUUUCACCUUAAUGCCAGCCCCAACCCCUGUCCUUGAAAAUCAAAUAGCAGACAAAUUGCUUAUGGUCUUCACUGGAAAGGGGCAAUGUGCUGUUUUGGGGUGAGUUAUUUAGACUCUCGUCCGCUGUUUAUUGGAAACCUGUAUUUCUCAAUAAUGUGCCAAUUAAACUAAUAGAGCAGAAUACAUCUGGCUCCCUGUGUGAUAAUAGACGAACAUGGGCUUAUCCCUCAGGCAUUUUCUUUGUAGGACGCCUCCUGGUCAACGGAUAAUAGCAGAUGGUUUUAAUGGAGUCAUUGCUGUGCUGUGGCUUGGUUCCCCAGUUUCAGACAGAGCUGUUUCAGCUCCCGGGGAGGAGAAGAAUAAACAGGGAUGCCCAUCCCUGCUGAGGACAACAUGGUAGAGCCAGCUGACAUGAAGCCGUUUUCAACCU